CGGAGACCAAAAAAUAUAAGACACAGUGAUACAGACUAGACAGCGGAAAAAAAAGCGUAGGAAGGAUGCGAUGACCUAUGGCGUCGAGGUCCAGGGAUUGACCUCAAAAGCUUCUGAUGCCCCAUUUCCCUCUUCCUCUUUCGAUCCAGAAGCGGCAGUACCUCGGGUCCCUGGUCCCGGAGAGAAGGGACUUACGGGUUUUCGUGCCACCCGGGAAGACCGCAGGGACCGAGGUAGAGGCCUCCCCAACCUCACCGGGUUUCCAUUGCCCUUCUCUGGAAGAUCGAGAGAGCAUCGGAUAACUAGAGCCUUAGCCUUCAACGGAGCCCGAGCCUCCGCGUGGGGUGAAAGCCCGGAGCCGCAGAGCCAGCCCAGCCAGGUCUCCAACUCGCAAGGGCGGUGGAAGCGAAGCUCAGCCCGUGCAGAGAAAACAUCUGGAUCCGAGCUGCCGACUGAAAGCGUGAGCGGGCAGCGAAAUCCUGGGGGUAAAAUCCCGGAGGCACGGGGAAAUUCCCGCGACUCAAAGAGGGGGAAGGCUGUGAGUGAGGGUGGAAGGCGACCCAGAGGCGAGUCUUGCAAAGGAAGAAGGAAAGGGCAAAGCCACCAUCCAGGAAGAGAUCACCCAUGUGACGGCGUUGGGGGAGGAAAGCGCUGGGCGGCCAGGCAGGUGUGCUGGACAGCCCCAUCUCCCACCGCUCCUGCUCAGGGACGCAAACUGGUGGAGCAUCAACUGUCUUUAUUCCAGUGGGGACAAGGCUAUAAGCCAUGAAAGAAGCAGAAAACUCACCACUGUCAUGUUAACUGGGAUUGGAUUUACCCUGGGUCAUGUACCCAUUUCAAAAAAGAAACUACUUUUGAGGAUGGCAAAGGAAAUAGCCUCCUUCAGUACAGGUGUCAGGGAGGAGGCAUUGUGUCCAUCAUGCUGUGUGUUCGUGACUAUUCCACAGUUCUUUUGACCAGAGAAGACCCUUCUACUAAUGGGAUAUGGCAUGGCAGACCUGUAAGAGGCUAACAGCUGGAGCAAAAUAGGUGCAUUAGGUGCCAUUUUGGGUUGGUCCACCAGUCUGGGUCUCCCUAGGAAGGCCUCAGCUGGAGCAGA